UUAAGGGCUAGCGGCGGACGGGUGAGUAACACGUGGGUAACCUGCCCAAGAGAUCGGGAUAACACCUGGAAACAGAUGCUAAUACCGGAUAACAACAGAUGAUGCCUAUCAACUGUUUAAAAGAUGGUUCUGCUAUCACUCUUGGAUGGACCUGCGGUGCAUUAGCUAGUUGGUAGGGUAACGGCCUACCAAGGCGAUGAUGCAUAGCCGAGUUGAGAGACUGAUCGGCCACAUUGGGACUGAGACACGGCCCAAACUCCUACGGGAGGCAGCAGUAGGGAAUCUUCCACAAUGGACGCAAGUCUGAUGGAGCAACGCCGCGUGAGUGAAGAAGGGUUUCGGCUCGUAAAGCUCUGUUGUUGGUGAAGAAGGACAGGGGUAGUAACUGACCUUUGUUUGACGGUAAUCAAUUAGAAAGUCACGGCUAACUACGUGCCAGCAGCCGCGGUAAUACGUAGGUGGCAAGCGUUGUCCGGAUUUAUUGGGCGUAAAGCGAGUGCAGGCGGCUCGAUAAGUCUGAUGUGAAAGCCUUCGGCUCAACCGGAGAAUUGCAUCAGAAACUGUCGAGCUUGAGUACAGAAGAGGAGAGUGGAACUCCAUGUGUAGCG
rnacentral:rRNA from 1 species